CGACUCUCGGCAACGGAUAUCUCGGCUCUCGCAUCGAUGAAGAACGUAGUGAAAUGCGAUACUUGGUGUGAAUUGCGCAAUCCCGCGAACCAUCGAGUCUUUGAACGCAAGUUGCGCCCGAAGCCCUCGUGGCCAGGGCACGUCUGUCUGGGCGUCACGCA
rnacentral:rRNA from 1 species